UACGGGGGGGGCAAGCGUUGUUCGGAAUUACUGGGCGUAAAGGGCUCGUAGGCGGCCAACUAAGUCCGACGUGAAAUCCCCAGGCUUAACCUGGGAACUGCGUCGGAUACUGGAUGGCUUGAAUCCGGGAGAGGGAUGCGGAAUUCCAGGUGUAGCGGUGAAAUGCGUAGAUAUCUGGAGGAACACCGGUGGUGAAGGCGGCAUCCUGGACCGGCAUUGACGCUGAGGAGCGAAAGCCAGGGGAGCAAACGGG
rnacentral:rRNA from 1 species